rnacentral:SRP_RNA from 11 species
AGGCCGUGGUACCUGGCCGUGCUGCCCAGCGCGCGGCCGCCGCCGCCGCCGCUCUGCGGGCGGGGAGGCGCCGCCCUCGUCCACCCUGAAGCUCGCAAACCGCACGAGGCGGGCGAGCAGGC